UACGGGAGGCAGCAGUGGGGAAUAUUGCACAAUGGGCGAAAGCCUGAUGCAGCUAUGCCGCGUGUAUGAAGAAGGCCUUAGGGUUGUAAAGUACUUUCAUCGGGGAGGAAAAACAAAACUAAUAAUUUUAUUUCUUGACGUUACCCGAAAAAGAAGCACCGGCUAACUCCGUGCCAGCAGCCGCGGUAAUACGGAGGGUGCUAGCGUUAAUCAGAAUUACUGGGCGUAAAGAGCACGUAGGUGGUUUUUUUAAGUCAGAUGUGAAAUCCCUGGGCUUAACCUAGGAACUGCAUUUUGAAACUGAAAUACUAGAGUAUCGUAGAGGGAGGUAGAAUUCUAGGUGUAGCGGUGAAAUGCGUAGAUAUCUGGAGGAAUACCUGUGGCGAAAGCGGCCUCCUAAACGAAUACUGACACUGAGGUGCGAAAGCGUGGGGAGCGAACAGGGAUUAGAUACC
rnacentral:rRNA from 1 species